UUGCUAUGAUGAUAACUUUAUUCUUUUUGAAAGUGUUCUUGAUGAAACGUCGACAAUCAUGUCGAUCUGAGCGGUUACCUGAGCAA
rfam:Citrus sinensis cultivar Ridge Pineapple sweet orange scaffold00059_contig_40, whole genome shotgun sequence.